AUUGAACGCUGGCGGCAGGCCUAACACAUGCAAGUCGAGCGGAUGAAGGGAGCUUGCUCCUGGAUUCAGCGGCGGACGGGUGAGUAAUGCCUAGGAAUCUGCCUGGUAGUGGGGGAUAACGUCCGGAAACGGGCGCUAAUAACGCAUACGUCCUGAGGGAGAAAGUGGGGGAUCUUCGGACCUCACGCUAUCAGAUGAGCCUAGGUCGGAUUAGCUAGUUGGUGGGGUAAAGGCCUACCAAGGCGACGAUCCGUAACUGGUCUGAGAGGAUGAUCAGUCACACUGGAACUGAGACACGGUCCAGACUCCUACGGGAGGCAGCAGUGGGGAAUAUUGGACAAUGGGCGAAAGCCUGAUCCAGCCAUGCCGCGUGUGUGAAGAAGGUCUUCGGAUUGUAAAGCACUUUAAGUUGGGAGGAAGGGCAGUAAGUUAAUACCUCGCUGUUUUGACGUUACCAACAGAAUAAGCACCGGCUAACUUCGUG
rnacentral:rRNA from 1 species